rnacentral:rRNA from 1 species
ACUUAAGCAUAUCAAUAAGCGGAGGAAAAGAAACCAACAGGGAUUCCCCUAGUAACGGCGAGUGAAGCGGGAACAGCUCAAAUUUGAAAUCUGGCCCUUGGGUCCGAGUUGUAAUUUGCAGAGGAUGCUUUUGGUGCGGUGCCUUCCGAGUUCCCUGGAACGGGACGCCUUAGAGGGUGAGAGCCCCGUACGGUUGGCCACCAAGCCUGUGUAAAGCUCCUUCGACGAGUCGAGUAGUUUGGGAAUGCUGCUCAAAAUGGGAGGUAUAUUUCUUCUAAAGCUAAAUACUGGCCAGAGACCGAUAGCGCACAAGUAGAGUGAUCGAAAGAUGAAAAGCACUUUGAAAAGAGGGUUAAAUAGCACGUGAAAUUGUUGAAAGGGAAGGAUUUAUGACCAGACUUUUUCUAGGGGGAUCAUCCGGUGUUCUCACCGGUGCACUUCCCCUAGUUGAGGCCAGCAUCGGUUUCUGUCGGGGGAUAAAAGCUUCAGGAAUGUGGCUCCCUCCGGGGAGUGUUAUAGCCUGUUGCAUAAUACCCUGACGGGGACCGAGGUUCGCGCAUUGCAAGGAUGCUGGCGUAAUGGUUAUUAAUCACCCGUCUUGAAACACGGACCAAGGAGUCGAACAUUUGUGCGAGUGUUUGGGUGUUAAACCCUCACGCGUAAUGAAAGUGAACGGAGGUGAGAGCCCUUCGGGGUGCAUCAUCGACCGAUCCUGAUGUCUUCGGAUGGAUUUGAGUAAGAGCAUAACUGUUCGGACCCGAAAGAUGGUGAACUAUGCGUGGAUAGGGUGAAGCCAGAGGAAACUCUGGUGGAGGCUCGCAGCGGUUCUGACGUGCAAAUU